rnacentral:RNase_P_RNA from 1 species
CAAGGCGGCCGGGCGGUCGCGGCGCGAAAGCGACGAGGAACGUCCGGGCUCCACAGGGAAGGGUGGUGGCUAACGGCCACCCGGGGUGACCCGCGGGAAAGUGCAACAGAAAGCAGACCGCUCGCGCAUGCGAGUAAGGGUGAAACGGUGAGGUAAGAGCUCACCAGCGAUGUAGGUGACUGCGUCGGCUAGGUAAACCCCAUCCGGAGCAAGACCAAACAGUAGGUGCCUGAGGGCGUCCCGCCCGAGCCUACGGGUAGGUUGCUUGACCCCAGUGGUAACGCUGGGGCUAGAUGGAUGGCCGCCGCCGCGCAAGGUCCGCAAGGACAGCGCGGUAACAGAACCCGGCGUACAGGCCGCCUUGCCCC